CAAUUAACAACUUAAAAUAUUACUAAAUGUAAAAGUAAUUAACAAACCAACAAAUUAAUGGAAACAAUAAUACUAUUUUUUUUGCAUAUGCUCACAUUUGUUUGCAAAAAAUCUUUAGAGAGAGAGGGUCCACCUUCUCUCUAAGGAAAUUAACGCUCAAUGAAUGAGGAUUCUCAGUUCAAACUUACCCCACCAGAUAAAAAGACAAGCCAAAUGGCAAUCGACAACAACAAUAAGAGUUCCUACAGGGAUUUGGUAAGGGGAAACACCACUAUUUCAUCUGAUUACUCCUUUCAAUGCCAUACUAGUGCUCAACAGGAAGAACCAACGAUGACAAAAGGCUUCAUCUCACUCUCCAUGGAGGACUGGCAAAGGAUCUACGGGCCAUGGCAUUUUAUACACAUAAUAAGGGCGGUGGGAAGAAGAUUUAACCAUCAAUACCUAAAAACAAAAUUGACUGGCCUAUGGAUCAGAUUCAGAGCACCAAUUUGGAUCAGAUUACCCCAGAUGCCUACGGAAUUUUAUGAUGUGGGUAUCCUGGAGCGCAUAGGAAGGAUGCUAGAAACCUUCGUUAAGGCAACUCUAAUGACCUCUGUCAUGAUAGGAAGCAAUACACAGCAGAUCCAAUAUGAGGGCGAGGCCUUUCUCUGCAAAGUUUGCAGAUGCCUUGGGCAUACCGCUAGUGUAUGCAAAAUUCGACCAUCACCAGCAAUCACGACCAAUCCUUCGGCAUCGGCAAAACAACAUACAUCACUGACGAAACCAGCCCAGGAAUGGCAGACGGUAAGUUUCAAAUGCGGGAAAGGAAGAAAGGAGAACACCAGGGGAAUUCACACAAACAUGGAAAACCCAGGUAAGUUUCCUAUCCAACCAAAGUCCCAGAUCGGAACCGCCGCUUCACCCUCAGAAACCAAUGGCGACGGUAAAGGCAAGUUACCUCAAGGACGCUUGCUUCAGAUCAGGGCCAGCCCAGUUAUCAGUUGGGCCGCUAUUCUCAAUGGACUAAGACGCGUGAGUCGUCACCCAAUGGGACACCUAACAUGCAGCCCAACAAAGGGAAGAACUCAGCAAUUGGCCCUCUAAAGCCUAACUCUAAGGCCCAUUCUAAGGGUGACCGGGUUAACGCUGCUAUCCAGUCCAAACAAACUUUAGAUCGAUGUUUAUUAGGAAUAAAGAAUGAGGCUAAUGCUAAUCCCAACACAAAGGUCGUAUCAGGGACUAAAAAAGUCUCUACACCUCAAAAUUUGGACCCUCCUUCUUCAGCCAAUACCACUCUUCAAACUCCUAACCCAAUAUAAAAUAUCCCUGCUAACUAUCAAGUGAAGGAUAUUAAAAUGAUGGAGGAAGGGGAUACUCAAGUGAAUAACCUUUCUAACACUUUCUCCAAUGACUCUGAGACCCAACUUCCCUCUAAUAGUAACAAUCCUGAUAUCCAUCACUCCGAGCUCAGUAGCCAAGGACAUGGGGAUGCCAUAAAACCCUCCCCAGAACAUCAAUCCAAUUCCCAUCACCUUCACUACACCACCACUUUCAUUGGACCAUCUUCCAAUAUCAUGGUUAGAGAUGGGUCUGCUAGAACUGGAGGUGCCUCUACAGCUAACCUGGAAAGGGAGGCAUAUCAAGAUAAUCAUCCACAACCCGCAUUACCUUGCCCAAAUAAUCACGAAGUGUAUAAAUCAGGGACUGAGAUCAUAUGGUCAAAACAUAUGGAUGUCAGCCCUUAUGAACCUGACCAACCAACCAACCCAGUCCCCUCGACUUCGGACUUAUUGAAAUGAUAGCAAUAAGUCAAUAACUUCUCUUCUUCCCUCCUAAGAGAAGGGAACUACUGGAACAGGGCCCUCUUUUUGUGAACAUCUCUGGGAGCACCUGACCAACCCAAUACCUACAACACCACUUCUGAAAGUAGUCUUGAAUAGGGAACUAAUAAAAAGGGAAAAAACCUUAGAGGUACUGAGAGAAGGGAACGAGGACCUACAAAGAAUCCUGACAUCACUAAAGGUUCCAAGAACCAAAGCCAUAACUCUAGGAAGGCCAGUCCAUCUCACAUUCGAGGGGGUAACAAGAGAAAUAGCCAUUCUUCUUAUACCCAAGGAAACCAUUAUGCUAGACCUAGAGAUAGUUCCCCCAAGCCCUGCAAUAGGCAUCUAUUACAAGACCAAGAUAUCCCCACUAUCCAAGAAGAGAAAGAGGACAAACUCCACACUGGGAAGGGCAAAGAAAUCCUAAUGGAUGCUACAGACUGGGACACACCAACCAUGCCAAUUAUGAAUUGCAUCAUCUGGAACACUAGAUGGGCCAACAAUAUCGAUUUUAGGAGGCAUUGUAAAGCCAUGAUAGAGAUACAUAAACCUACCAUCCUGGCUCUUCUUGAAACCAGGAUGUGGGAUCACAACAGCCUUGCUGAAGAUUUGGGUUACUCCAAAAAGAGUCAAUACCCUGCGGUUAGAAGAUCGGGAGGCUUGUCAUCAUAUGGAAUGAAGACAAUCUCAGCAUCAGCAAUAUCAAUAUAUCCUCUCAAGGCAUUUAUGUCACUGUCCAGGUCCAGGUUAAGCACGUUGGGGAAUCCAGUUAUAUGCAAUAGCUAAAGGAAAGAAAAUAUGGUGGCGGAUUGGUUAGCGAAGAUGGAAGCAAACUCAACACUUUUUGAAAAAGCAAGACUUUUGGAAAUUCCUCCAGUGUGUGCUUGAAAUGCUUUAUGGGAAGACACGAUAGGAACUACAUUUCAACGCAGUGUAAGAUCUAGUUCUGGGGAUAGCCUAGACCGCAGUUAUAGAAUUUUUCAAACCAACCCUGGUUGAUCAACUGGAAAAAUGUAAUAUGCUAGUACUGUGCUCCUUUAUUUAUUUCUAAUCCAACUGCCAUCUUCUAUAAUAAAAAGGAAACAAUAGUUCUGUUGAAAAAAAAA